rnacentral:rRNA from 1 species
GGAUUAGGCAUGCAAGUCGAACGAAUCCCAUCUGGGUAACUGGGUGGGGGAAUGGGCGAAAGGGGCAGUAAGGCGUGGAUAACCUGCCCCGGACUUCGGGAUAGCCCCUCUAACGAGGGGGUAAUACCGGAUGUCGUAGCGUGGGAGCAUUCUCGUGCUACGAAAGCUCAGGCGGUCCGGGAGGGGUUCACGUGGUAUUAGCUAGUUGGUGAGGUAACGGCUCACCAAGGCCAAGAUGCCUAGCAGGUGUGAGAGCACGACCUGCGCCACUGGCACUGGGACACUGGCCAGACUCCUACGGGAGGCUGCAGUCGAGGAUCUUCGGCAAUGGGCGAAAGCCUGACCGAGCGACGCCGCGUGUGCGAUGAAGGCCUUCGGGUUGUAAAGCACUGUCGUGGGGGAGAAAGACCGCAAGGUUUGAUCGACCCCAGGAGGAAGCUCGGGCUAAGUUCGUGCCAGCAGCCGCGGUAAGACGAACCGUGCAAACGUUGUUCGGAAUCACUGGGCUUAAAGGGCGCGUAGGCGGGCCAGCCAGUCUGUGGUGAAAGCCUCCAGCUUAACUGGAGAAGUGCCUCGGAUACUGAUCGUCUCGAGGAGGAUAGGGGCAUCUGGAACGGUCGGUGGAGCGGUGAAAUGCGUUGAUAUCGACCGGAACUCCGGUGGCGAAGGCGAGGUGCUGGGUCCUUUCUGACGCUGAUGCGCGAAAGCCAGGGGAGCAAACGGGAUUAGAUACCCCGGUAGUCCUGGCCCUAAACGUUGAGGACUAGGUAGUGGACUUAACAUGGGUUCACUGUCGGAGCAAAAGUGCUAAGUCCUCCGCCUGGGGAGUAUGGUCGCAAGGC